rnacentral:rRNA from 1 species
CGUGGCGAACGGGUGCGUAACACGUGGAUAACCUUCCUUCAGGUGGGGAAUAACCCAGUGAAAAUUGGGCUAAUACCGCAUAACAAGACGAGGGCUCAUGCUUUUGUCUUCAAAGGCGCAAGUCGCCAGAAGAGGGAUCCGCGGCCGAUUAGCUUGUUGGCGGGGUAACGGCCCACCAAGGCAAUGAUCGGUAGCCGGACUGAGAGGUUGGCCGGCCACACUGGAACUGAGACACGGUCCAGACUCCUACGGGAGGCAGCAGUGGGGAAUCUUGCGCAAUGGGCGAAAGCCUGACGCAGCAACGCCGCGUGGGGGAUGAAGCUUCUCGGAGUGUAAACCCCUUUCGACCCGGACGAAUGCCCGCAAGGGCUUGACGGUACGGGUAUAAGAAGCCCCGGCUAACUACGUGCCAGCAGCCGCGGUAAAACGUAGGGGGCCAGCGUUGCUCGGAAUUACUGGGCGUAAAGGGUCCGUAGGCGGUGCGGCAAGUCGGAAGUGAAAUCCCUGGGCUUAACUCAGGGGCUGCUCCCGAAACUGCCGUGCUAGAGGAUGAGAGAGGCAAGUGGAAUUGCGGGUGUAGCGGUGAAAUGCGUAGAUAUCCGCAGGAACAUCCGAGGCGAAAGCGGCUUGCUGGAUCAUUUCUGACGCUGAGGGACGAAAGCUAGGGGAGCAAACAGGAUUAGAUACCCUGGUAGUCCUAGCCCUAAACCAUCAGACUUGGGGUUUGCCCUGUACGGGGCAAGUCCCGGAGCUAACGCGUUAAGUCCUGCGCCUGGGGAGUACGGUCGCAAGCUGAAACUCAAAGGAAUUGACGGGGGCCCGCACAAGCGGUGGAACAUGUGGUUCAAUUCGA